AAAAAGCUCAAGUUCUCCGUAGUAAACUAUAGUACAGUGGGCACCAGAAAGCAAUCAUUGGGUAUUAUUCAUCAUCAACAAUCGACACAACUAUACUGUAGUAAGCUAAAUAGUAGUUGAGCCCAUGAACCAUUUAAAAAAACUAACUAAACCACCAAUUAUAACAAAAUUGUAUUGUACUCUGCCAAAUUCAAUCUUGUCGACCACUCUCGGCUAUUAGUCCUAACUGAAGCACCUGUUAACAAACUAACUAAAUCAACAUGAUUCUAAAAAACAAAAGUAUCUUAAUCACCAUUGCGAAGCCAAAAGAUGGAAGUAUCAACCCAGUUCCUUGGUAAACCCAAGUUCAUGUGUGCAGGAGAGUGGAUUCUGCCACUAACAUGGCAAUCCAGUGGCACUCCACCUAGCACACCUGUGAAUCCAUUCAACCCAAGUUCCGGGCAGCCACUCAGAACAUGGCCGAAUUUGCUACAUGGAGCGCGAUCUUCUCCGGGUACUUCUGCGCCUCGGCGGUCCGAAGAGUGGAGGGGCACAACAGAACACCAUUGUUGUCACCUAUAGACCACACUGCAGCAGGAGAGGAGAGCACUUAUCGCAUUCGAUGGGAGAGGAAGAACAGGAGGUGGGGAAGAUGAAUGAAUGGACACAGUCUACCUCACCCUCGUUCCCCGACCAGCCGCGUCGCCACCACGCGAUCGGAAGCACCCACCACCGCGUGCUGAUCUAAGAGAGAUUACCAAGGAGAGAGAUGAUCCAAUGUGGCUAUGGAGGCAGUGGGAUGCGAUGGAGGGUGGAUGUGGUGAGGAGCGGCCGCGGAUGGAACAGGGAGCGACGACAACGAUCGGAGAUCAGGACGGC
rnacentral:lncRNA from 1 species